AGAGUUUGAUCAUGGCUCAGAAUGAACGCUGGCGGCGUGCUUAACACAUGCAAGUCGUACGAGAACUCUUCUGCUUGCAGAAGAUAGUAAAGUGGCGCACGGGUGAGUAACGCGUGGGUAAUCUACCUUCGACUCGGGAAUAACAUUGCGAAAGCGAUGCUAAUACCGGAUGAUAUCCUGAAUCCUUCGGGGUUAAGGAUCAAAGGUGGUCUCUACAUGUAAGCUAUUGAUUGAAGAUGAGCCCGCGUACCAUUAGCUUGUUGGUAGGGUAAUGGCCUACCAAGGCAUCGAUGGUUAGCUGGUCUGAGAGGAUGAUCAGCCACACUGGAACUGACACACGGUCCAGACUCCUACGGGAGGCAGCAGUGAGGAAUUUUGCGCAAUGGGGGAAACCCUGACGCAGCAACGCCGCGUGAGUGAUGAAGGCUUUCGGGUCGUAAAGCUCUGUCGAGUGGGAAGAACAAGCCUGAUGCUAAUAUCAUCAGGAACUGACGGUACCACUGAAGGAAGCACCGGCUAACUCCGUGCCAGCAGCCGCGGUAAUACGGGGGGUGCAAGCGUUAUUCGGAAUUAUUGGGCGUAAAGGGCGCGUAGGCGGCUCUGUAAGUCAGACGUGAAAUCCCGGGGCUUAACCUCGGAAGUGCGUUUGAAACUAUAGGGCUUGAGUAUGGGAGAGGGAAGUGGAAUUCCUGGUGUAGAGGUGAAAUUCGUAGAUAUCAGAGGAACACCGGUGGCGAAAGCGACUUCCUGGACCAAUACUGACGCUGAGCGCGAAGGCGUGGGGAGCAAACAGGAUUAGAUACCCUGUAGUCCACGCAGUAAACGUUGACACUAGGUGUAGCGGGUAUUGACCCCUGCUGUGCCGCAGUACGCAUUAGUGUUCGCCUGGAGUACGACCGCAAGGUAAAACUCAAGGAAUUGACGGGGCCGCACAGCGGUG
rnacentral:rRNA from 1 species